ACCAUCAUCAUAGUUAUGGUUCUGUUUAGUUUAACUUUACACUUAUGAGGACUUUUUCUGUUCAUUCGUUCACUGUUCAGCCACCAGCAGUUAUCCUUGCAGCUCAGUCUGUCUCCAGCCACCACCCAACUCUAGAUUAUCCCCACCUGUCCCCACUAAUUAGUUACUCAGCUCACCUGUUCACCAGCCUACUUAUACCUGCCUUUGCCUACUCAUCUCUGCCAGAACUUCUGACUCACUCACUUCUUCUUGCUCCUCAUCGCUCACUCUCUUCGUUGCUCUUCCCGUGUGAUUUGCCUUUGCUUCACCUGCUCAUAUGUGGUCUGUCAGCUGGACUCUCCUGCUAAGGUCGCCGGUGUCUGCAGGCUGCAGCUUAGCCUGUUUCCUGCUCUACCGGAUCCUGUGUGCCAUGCCAGCUGAACGCUCCUAGUUGAGAUUGCCUGAGUCUCCAUGCUGCUUGCUACCUGUUCCUCCGUGAGUCUGCCGCCUACAUCUCCUGGUUCUCUGCUCAUCCCGGUAAACCAGCACUUUCUACCAGGAUUCCUCUGACAAGACUGACUGUUUACCUGCUUCAUCUGCCAUUAUUCACCCCUUCAAUAAACCAUUCACAAUGUAACUGUGUCUGGCUAAAAAUCAGGUUCACCUGCAUUAAAGUAUGACAACCAUACAGAAUACAGGUCUAGAUCAGUGAGCGGAUUGGCUCUGCCAUAUUUCCAGUCUUAUUAUUUAGCAGCAAAUAUACGACACAUGCUAUAUUGGAUCACUAACUAUUCUACAGAAACCCCAGCUUGGCUUCAAAUUGAGUUGUCUAAUUGUGGCAAGACUAGUUGACUACCUGCUUUUUUGACCUCUGCUCUCCCUUUAGAAGUAUGUAAAUAUAACUGCAACCCUCUCCUAUAUAACUCUGAUAAUCUGGGUGCGAUGUAGGAAAAGAUUUGGGCUACAUUUUAUGUUAAUCAAAACUCCUAUUUGUAUAAAUCCCAUGAUCCGACCUUCUAUGUAAAGUUGAACACAUUUUUAUUGAUGGGACAUUUACACAGUUUAUGGAACAGUUUAAUAUCUUGCAUACACAUCUUUUCCGCGAUUUGCAACUGCGGCAUUUUGUGAAGAAUAGAUAUUAAUUAUUUCCUGAACUACCUGAGGAAACAACUCUGGAUAAAAUCAUAGGUAUAAACAUUCAUAAGAGGGGUGCAAUUAAAGAAAUCUAUACUGUUAGAAAAAUGUGAAUGUAAUCAUUUUAUUUUUUAUCAAGUUACAGCCAUUUGGUUUGUUUAAGAAUUUGCUUUCAGAAAGGUUUUGUUGUAUUUACCCCUAGGCAGGAAGAACAAAUGGUACAGAUAAGGAAUGUCUAAUGUCUGAUAAUAAAAGCAGAAGGACAGACGCAGACGUUCCUAAACCUUAAGGGAGUGUAGUUCUCCGUUUGGGUAUCCUCUGUCCUUUUCUAUAGAAAUGUUUAAAACUUGUGUUGUGUGGUUUUCAUUCUAGGAUAAAAGGGGUUAUAUUUAAUAACCCUAUCAGCCUGGUGCCGUGACGCGGAUCCCAACAUAUCAGCUCGCUGACGAGAGGAGCGGACAUGCUGAAACCCACCGGUGGUCUGAGUCAAGGACCUGUCUAAAGUCCCGGGAGGUAACUUCCUCGCUGGGCCAGCGUCGUAGGUUAACUCCUUUCGCCAACGAGGGAUUGACGGGAUCCGACCGGGAGAAAAACACACCACAGCAAGAUCCACAAGCAGUGAGACCAGGAGACUGGUUUGUUCAUCAAAAUCAUCAGAAGGAAGGACUGGGCGAGCCAAAGUUGGGAAGGACCAUUCCAAGAGCUCCUGACCAUGCCAACAGCUGUAAUAAUCGCUGAAAGACCUUCCUGGAUUCACCUCAGCCACUG